rnacentral:snRNA from 1 species
UUUAGCUUAAGUUUUCACACGAG